GCGUCUAUGGUGCAAUGGUCAGCAUACGCUCCCGGAAAGAGUGAGAUUGGAGUUCGAAUCCCGGCUGACGCA